UGUGGUACUCCGGCGCAUGUCGGGGAUAUUAAAGAUGGGGAUUCUUCGGAACCUGUCGCUUGGAGAGGAGCCCGCGUCCCAUCAGCUUGUUGGUGAGGUAAAAGCUCACCAAGGCGUACGGGUAGCUGGUCCGAGAGGAUGGUCAGCCACACUGGGACUGAGACACUGCCCAGACUCCUACGGGAGGCUGCAGUCGAGAAUCAUUCGCAAUGCGCGAAAGCGUGACGAUGCGACGCUGCGUGGAGGAUGACGGCCUUAGGGUUGUAAACUCCUGUCAUUCAGGAACAAUGAUCCGGGUGUUAAUAGCGCCGGGAAGUGAUGGUACUGAAAGAGGAAGCCACGGCUAACUCUGUGCCAGCAGCCGCGGUAAUACAGAGGUGGCGAGCGUUGUUCGGAUUUACUGGGCGUAAAGGGUGCGUAGGUGGUUAUGUGUGUCGGGUGUGAAAGCCCACGGCUCAACCGUGGAAUUGCACUCGAAACUGCGUAACUUGAGUGCAGGAGAGGAGAGCGGAAUUCUUGGUGUAGCGGUGAAAUGCGUUGAUAUCAAGAAGAACACCGGCGGCGAAGGCGGCUCUCUGGAAUGCAACUGACACUGAGGCACGAAAGCUGGGGGAGCGAACAGGAUUAGAUACCCUGGUAGUCCCAGCCGUAAACGGUGCGCACUUGGUGUGGGGGGAAUUGACCCCCUCCGUGCCGGAGUUAACGCGUUAAGUGCGCCGCCUGGGGAGUACGGUCGCAAGGCUAAAACUCAAAGAAAUUGACGGGGGCCCGCACAAGCGGAGGAGCAUGUGGCUUAAUUCGAUGCAACGCGAAGAACCUUACCAGGGCUUGACAUAUACCUGCACGCCCCGGGAAACCGGGGAAGCCUUCGAGGGUGGUAUACAGGUGCUGCAUGGCUGUCGUCAGUUCGUGCCGUGAGGUGUCUGGUUAAGUCCAACAACGAACGCAACCCUUGUGUUUAGUUGCCACUCCUGGUGUUAAGCCGGGAAGCACUCUAAACAGACUGCCCGUGCAAGCGGGAGGAAGGUGGGGAUGACGUCAAGUCAGUAUGGCCCUUACGCCCUGGGCUGCACACGUGCUACAAUGGCGAGGUACAAUGGGAUGCAAUGCCGUAAGGUGGAGCAAAUCCUCAAAACUUGCCCUAGUUCGGAUUGGAGUCUGCAACUCGACUCCAUGAAGUUGGAUUCGCUAGUAAUGGCGUAUCAGCUACGA
rnacentral:rRNA from 1 species